CUCACUAACUCACGUUGAUAUCAGCCACAACACUCAUUCUCUAUCUCUCUCUCACACACUCACACUCAAACACGCCAAACACCAUUUUUAGCUUGGACGGAGGUUUCAAGCUCCGAUUUGAGCACCGAGACGAGCGCCGAUCAUCUUUUCGAUCAUGUAUCUAAGUAGGUCCUUUUGGGAAGUAACGACUUGAGGGAGAGAGUGACGUUACUCAUUGAUACAGAGACACAACGAGGUUGAGCUGAUGUGAUGAUGGUGCUGCAAUGAGCGGAGUCUCCAGGGUUGUUAAUAAAUAGUUAACCUGUCUAGAAUAUGUCUUCAUACAUAUGUCUAGCUACUUUCCGCUGCAAGAUGUUGUUGAUGUUAUAGUAUGUUAUGUCAUACUUUGAGUCUUAAGAGAAUGGUUGCAUAUGAUGUAUAACUUGAUUAAUGAUAUUAAUUAACUUUUAUGCAGUCUUUCAUAGACUGUUUUCAAUUGAGUAUUAAUGAAUAAAAAUGACGAGUUUUAUUAA